UCCGUUUUGUCAACGGCAGUCUCUCUAGAGUGCCCGGCCGAACCGCUGGCAACUAAAGAUAAGGGUUGCGCUCGUUGCGGGACUUAACCCAACAUCUCACGACACGAGCUGACGACAGCCAUGCAGCACCUGUGUAAAGGUUCCCUUUCGGGCACUCCCCAAUCUCUCGGGGAUUCCUUCCAUGUCAAGGGUAGGUAAGGUUUUUCGCGUUGCAUCGAAUUAAUCCACAUCAUCCACCGCUUGUGCGGGUCCCCGUCAAUUCCUUUGAGUUUUAAUCUUGCGACCGUACUCCCCAGGCGGUCUACUUCACGCGUUAGCUGCGUUACCAAGUCAAUUAAGACCCGACAACUAGUAGACAUCGUUUAGGGCGUGGACUAC
rnacentral:misc_RNA from 1 species